rfam:Myotis davidii contig185934, whole genome shotgun sequence.
AUACUUAUCUGGCAGAGGAGAUACCAUGAUCACAAAGGUGGUUUUCCCAGAGCGAGGCUUAUUCAUUGCAUGUGGGAUGUGUUGAUCCCUGGGUUUCCCCAGAUGUGGGAAACUCAACUGCAUAAUAUGUGGUAAUGGGAGACCACGUUUGCACUCUACCCUG